rnacentral:rRNA from 1 species
UGUCGUCAGCUCGUGUCGUGAGAUGUUGGGUUAAGUCCCGUAACGAGCGCAACCCUUGUCCUUAGUUACCAGCACGUUAUGUGGGCACUCUAAGGAGACUGCCGGUGACAAACCGGAGGGAAGGUGGGGAUGACGUCAAGUCAUCAUGGCCCUUACGGCCUGGGCUACACACGUGCUACAAUGGUCGGUACAAAGGGUUGCCAAGCCGCGAGGUGGAGCUAAUCCCAUAAAACCGAUCGUAGUCCGGAUCGCAGUCUGCAACUCGACUGCGUGAAGUCGGAAUCGCUAGUAAUCGUGAAUCAGAAUGUCACGGUGAAUACGUUCCCGGGCCUU